AAUGUCGUAACAAGGUUUCCGUAGGUGAACCUGCGGAAGGAUCAUUACAAAGUAAAUGCUGGUAGGAAGUGGGGUCUUGAUCUGUAAGUGGUAGAGCGAACAGUCCGGCUGCCUCCCGAAACUGUCUUACAUGUCCCCCAACAGCCUGAAGGCCGAAUUACAACCCUUGAUUAUCUACACUUGUUGCUUUGGCGGGCCGUGGCCUCCACUGCGGGCUCUGCUCGUGUGCGCCCGCCAGAGGACCAAACUCUGAAUGUUAGUGAUGUCUGAGUACUAUCUAAUAGUUAAAAU
rnacentral:misc_RNA from 1 species